GAUGAACGCUAGCUACAGGCUUAACACAUGCAAGUCGAGGGACCGGCGCACGGGUGAGUAACACGUAUCCAACCUGCCCUUUACUCGGGGAUAGCCUUUCGACAGAAAGAUUAUUACCCGAUGUAAAGGAUGGGGAUGCGUUCCUUUAGGUUGUUGGUGAGGUAACGGCUCACCAAGCCUUCGAUGGAUAGGGGUUCUGAGAGGAAGGUACCCCACAUUGGAACUGAGACACGGUACAAACUACGACGGGAGGCAGCAGUGAGGAAUAUUGGUCAAUGGGCGUUAGCCUGAACCAGCCAAGUAGCGUGAAGAAGGAAGGUUUAUGGGUCGUAAACUUCUUUUAUAUAAGAAUAUGUAUUAUAUGAGUAAGGAUCGGCUAACUCCGUGCCAGCAGCCGCGGUAAUAC
rnacentral:rRNA from 1 species